GGGGAAUAUUGGACAAUGGGCGCAAGCCUGAUCCAGCCAUGCCGCGUGAGUGAUGAAGGCCUUCGGGUUGUAAACCUCUUUCAGCAGGGAAGAAGCGAAAGUGACGGUACCUGCAGAAGAAGCGCCGGCUAACUACGUGCCAGCAGCCGCGGUAAUACGUAGGGCGCAAGCGUUGUCCGGAAUUAUUGGGCGUAAAGAGCUCGUAGGCGGUUAGUCGCGUCUGCUGUGAAAACUCGAGGCUCAACCUCGGGCUUGCAGUGGGUACGGGCUGACUAGAGUGCGGUAGGGGUGACUGGAAUUCCUGGUGUAGCGGUGGAAUGCGCAGAUAUCAGGAGGAACACCGAUGGCGAAGGCAGGUCACUGGGCCGCAACUGACGCUGAGGAGCGAAAGCAUGGGGAGCGAACA
rnacentral:rRNA from 1 species